GUUUGCAUGAUGACUUGAAUUGUCGGAUACCCCUUCACCCCGUUCAUGGGUGAGAAACAGCUAGUCUGACAAAC
ensembl:snoRNA Gm23130 small nucleolar RNA SNORD101